GGAAGAUCGUAACCGACUUCCCCACGUUACACAUAAUCUGUGUGGUGUGUGUAGAUUCACAAGGAAGAUCGCAAUCGACUUCCCGCACUGCGCAUACUUGAUGUUCUGUGUGGAGACAGCACAGGAAGAUCGCAAUCGACUUCCCGCACUGCGCAUACUCGAUGUUCUGUGUGUAGCUAAACAGGCUGGUAAGAACUCUUUUACUCUGCAUUUCUGUUUUUAACCUUUAUAAUUGAUUUUGGAAAUUGAAGAUAAUAACCUACCUGCCUGUUCAAUAAAUUCUUAUUUUUAACUUG